rnacentral:rRNA from 1 species
CGAACGGGUGAGUAAUACAUCGGAACGUGUCCGCUCGUGGGGGACAACCAGCCGAAAGGUUGGCUAAUACCGCAUGAGUUCUACGGAAGAAAGAGGGGGACCCGCAAGGGCCUCUCGCGAGCGGAGCGGCCGAUGACUGAUUAGCCUGUUGGUGAGGUAACGGCUCACCAAAGCAACGAUCAGUAGCUGGUCUGAGAGGACGACCAGCCACACUGGGACUGAGACACGGCCCAGACUCCUACGGAAGGCAGCAG